rnacentral:tRNA from 1 species
UCCCUGGUGGCUCAGAGGGUAAAGCGUCUGCCUGCAAUGCAGGAGACCUGGGUUCAAUCCCGGGGUCGGGAA